GGAGCCCCCCGGGCCGCCUGAGACCCCCUGGGUGGGAUCUGACCCCCCCUGGGGUGGGGUUUGAUCCCCCCUGGGUGGGAUCUGACCCCUCCAUGGGGCAGGAUCCAGCCCCGAUCCCAUCAGGAUUUGGGGUCGGGUCUUGUUCCCCUUCUCGCUGCCCUACUGGGACCUGCCGGGAGCCCCCCGGGCUGGGUGAGACCCCCUGGGGUGGGAUUGAUCCCCCCUGGGUGGGAUCUGACCCCCCCUGGGUGGGAUCUGACCCCUCCAUGGGGCAGGAUCCACCCCCGAUCCCAUCAGGAUUUGGGGUCGGGUCUUGUGUCCCCUCUCCAGAUCCUGAAGGAACUUUCUGGAACCCCUCCAGGGUGGGAUUUGACCCCUCCCCGGGUGGGAUUUGACCCCUCCCCGGGGGGAUUUGACCCCCCCAAAGCGGAUCUGGCCCCGAUCCCUUCGGGGGUCUCGGGCACGUCGGGCACUGCUGUGGCAAUUAAAGG
rnacentral:lncRNA from 1 species